rnacentral:rRNA from 1 species
CUGCUGCCUUCCGUAGGAGUUUGGACCGUGUCUCAGUUCCAGUGUGGCUGGUCAUCCUCUCAGACCAGCUAGGGAUCGUCGCCUAGGUGAGCCGUUACCCCACCUACUAGCUAAUCCCAUCUGGGCACAUCCGAUGGCAAGAGGCCCGAAGGUCCCCCUCUUUGGUCUUGCGACGUUAUGCGGUAUUAGCUACCGUUUCCAGUAGUUAUCCCCCUCCAUCAGGCAGUUUCCCAGACAUUACUCACCCGUCCGCCA